rnacentral:rRNA from 1 species
GAUGAACGCUGGCGGCGUGCCUAAUACAUGCAAGUCGAGCGAACGGACGAGAAGCUUGCUUCUCUGAUGUUAGCGGCGGACGGGUGAGUAACACGUGGAUAACCUACCUAUAAGACUGGGAUAACUUCGGGAAACCGGAGCUAAUACCGGAUAAUAUUUUGAACCGCAUGGUUCAAAAGUGAAAGACGGCCUUGCUGUCACUUAUAGAUGGAUCCGCGCUGCAUUAGCUAGUUGGUAAGGUAACGGCUUACCAAGGCAACGAUGCGUAGCCGACCUGAGAGGGUGAUCGGCCACACUGGGACUGAGACACGGUCCAGACUCCUACGGGAGGCAGCAGUAGGGAAUCUUCCGCAAUGGGCGAAAGCCUGACGGAGCAACGCCGCGUGAGUGAUGAAGGUCUUCGGAUCGUAAAACUCUGUUAUUAGGGAAGAACAUAUGUGUAAGUAACUGUGCACAUCUUGACGGUACCUAAUCAGAAAGCCACGGCUAACUACGUG